CCUGGGGUCUAACCGGCCCCAACUCUUCACCCGUGUCAAUCUUCCAAUGUUGCUUUGGCGGAUCGGAGUUCGCUCCCCACCGCCAGAGGCCCCAUCAAUUCCGUUAUCAGUGUCGUCCGAGUAUAUAUAUAAUCGUUAAAACUUUCAACAACGGAUCUCUUGGCUCUGGCAUCGAUGAAGAACGCAGCGAAAUGCGAUAAGUAAUGUGAAUUGCAGAAUUCCGUGAAUCAUCGAAUCUUUGAACGCACAUUGCGCCCUUUGGUAUUCCGAAGGGCAUGCCUGUUCGAGCGUCAUUACAACCCUCAAGCACAGCUUGGUAUUGGGUCUCGUCCCCGUGACGGGCCCGAAAUUCCGUGGCGGUCCAGCGAAGCUUGGAAGUGCAGACAAUAUUGCAUCUUUCUUCGCAAGCACUCCCUGCAGGCCGGCCAGACAACCCCCCAAUUUUUUCAAUGGUUGACCUCGGAUCAGGUAGGGAUACCCGCUGAACUUAAGCAUAUCAAUAAGCGGAGGAAAAGAAACCAACAGGGAUUGCCUCAGUAACGGCGAGUGAAGCGGCAACAGCUCAAAUUUGAAAUCUGGCCCUUUUGGGGUCCGAGUUGUAAUUUGUAGAGGGUGUUUCGGGCGAGGCGCCGGCCUAAGUUCUUUGGAACAGGACGUCAUAGAGGGUGAGAAUCCCGUAUGCGGCCGGUGACCGACCCCAUGUGAAACCCCUUCGACGAGUCGAGUUGUUUGGGAAUGCAGCUCAAAAUGGGUGGUAUAUUUCAUCUAAAGCUAAAUACCGGCCAGAGACCGAUAGCGCACAAGUAGAGUGAUCGAAAGAUGAAAAGCACUUUGGAAAGAGAGUUAAACAGUACGUGAAAUUGUUGAAAGGGAAGCGCUUGCAACCAGAUCCGUCUCCGGGUGAUCAGCCUCCGUUUUCGGGGGUGCACUCGCCCGGUGAUGGGCCAGCAUCGGUUCGGGCGGUCGGAUAAAGGCCAGAGGAAUGUAGCUUCCUUCGGGGAGUGUUAUAGCCUCGGUGCCAUGCGGCCAGCCGGGACCGAGGAUCGCGCUUCGGCUAGGAUGCUGGCGUAAUGGUUGUAAGCGGCCCGUCUUGAAACACGGACCAAGGAGUGUAAUAUUUAUGCGAGUGUUUGGGUGUUAAACCCAUACGCGGAAUGAAAGUGAACGGAGGUGAGAACCCAUUAGGGCGCAUCAUCGACCGAUCCGGAAGUUUACGGAUGGAUUUGAGUACGAGCAUAACUAUUGCGACCCGAAAGAUGAUGAACUAUACUUGAAUAGGGUGAAGCCAGGGGAAACCCUGGUGGAGGCUCGCAGCGGUUCUGACGUGCAAAUCGAUCGUCAAAUUUGGGUAUAGGGGCGAAAGACUAAUCGAAUCAUCUAGUAGCUGGUUCCUGUCGAAGUUUCCCUCAGGAUAGCAGUAACGUUUUCAGUUUUAUGAGGUAAAGCGAAUGAUUAGAGGCCUUGGGGAUGCAACAUCCUUAACCUAUUCUCAAACUUUAAAUAUGUAAGAAGUCCUUGUUACUU
rnacentral:rRNA from 1 species